GACGAACGCUGGCGGCGUGCCUAAUACAUGCAAGUCGAGCGGACAGAAGGGAGCUUGCUCCCGGAAGUUAGCGGCGGACGGGUGAGUAACACGUGGGCAACCUACCCUGUAGAUCGGGAUAACAUCGAGAAAUCGGUGCUAAUACCGGAUAAUCAUUUGAAGUGCAUGCUUCGAAUGUAAAAGAUGGCUCCGGCUAUCACUACGGGAUGGGCCCGCGGCGCAUUAGCUAGUUGGUAAGGUAAUGGCUUACCAAGGCAACGAUGCGUAACCGACCAGGGAGGGUGAUCGGCAAAACUGGGACUAGGACACGGCCCAGACUCCUACGGGAGGCAGCAGUAGGGAAUCUUCCGCAAUGGACGAAAGUCUGACGGAGCAACGCCGCGUGAGUGAUGAAGGUUUUCGGAUCGUAAAGCUCUGUUGUUAGGGAAGAACAAGUGCCGUUUGAAUAAGGCGGCACCUUGACGGUACCUAACCAGAAAGCCACGGCUAACUACGUGCCAGCCGCCGCGGUAAGAC
rnacentral:rRNA from 1 species